rnacentral:rRNA from 1 species
GAUGAACGCUAGCUACAGGCUUAACACAUGCAAGUCGAGGGGCAGCAUGGUCUUAGCUUGCUAAGGCCGAUGGCGACCGGCGCACGGGUGAGUAACACGUAUCCAACCUGCCGUCUACUCUUGGACAGCCUUCUGAAAGGAAGAUUAAUACAAGAUGGCAUCAUGAGUUCACAUGUUCACAUGAUUAAAGGUAUUCCGGUAGACGAUGGGGAUGCGUUCCAUUAGAUAGUAGGCGGGGUAACGGCCCACCUAGUCUUCGAUGGAUAGGGGUUCUGAGAGGAAGGUCCCCCACAUUGGAACUGAGACACGGUCCAAACUCCUACGGGAGGCAGCAGUGAGGAAUAUUGGUCAAUGGGCGAGAGCCUGAACCAGCCAAGUAGCGUGAAGGAUGACUGCCCUAUGGGUUGUAAACUUCUUUUAUAAAGGAAUAAAGUCGGGUAUGUAUACCCGUCUGCAUGUACUUUAUGAAUAAGGAUCGGCUAACUCCGUG